ACUCCUACGGGAGGCAGCAGUGAGGAAUAUUGGACAAUGGGGCAGCCCAUCGAUCCAGCCAUGCCGCGCUGAUUGAAUGAAGGCCAGCUUAGGGUUGUAAAGAUCUUUCAAUAGUGAAGAUAAUGACGGUAACUAUAGAAGAAGCCCGCGUACAUCCGUGCCAGCAGCCGCGGUAAUACGGAGGGGCGUAGCGUUGUUCGGAAUUACUGGGCGUAAAGCGCGCGUAGGCGGGCUAUUAAGUCAGGGGUGAAAUCCCGGAGCUCAACUCCGGAACUGCCUUUGAUACUGGUAGCCUAGAGGUCGAGAGAGGUGAGUGGAAUUCCAAGUGUAGAGGUGAAAUUCGUAGAUAUUUGGAGGAACACCAGUGGCGAAGGCGGCUCACUGGCUCGAUACUGACGCUGAGGUGCGAAAGUGUGGGUAGCAAACAGGAUUAGAUACCCUGGUAGGCUCUGC
rnacentral:rRNA from 1 species